rnacentral:snoRNA from 1 species
UUGGUCCUGAAUCAAGGCCAGCAGUUGGCUGAAGCUGUUGGUUUCAAGCAAGCGCCUAAAUAAAUGUCUUUCUACUGCCUGUUGGCCAUUUCAGAAAUUUGAAAAUGUAACAAUCAAUUCAUUAGAAAGAAAUAUCU